CCUGGUUGAUCCUGCCAGUAGUCAUAUGCUUGUCUCAAAGAUUAAGCCAUGCAUGUCUAAGUACAAGCCUCACUAAGGUGAAACCGCGAAUGGCUCAUUAUAUCACACCUAAUCUACUGGAUAGUUAACAGUUACUUGGAUAACUGCGGUAAUUCUGGAGCUAAUACAUGCACAAAGCCCCGAACUUACGUGAGGGGCGCUUUUAUUAGAUCAAAACCAAUCGGCUUCGGCUGAACUCUUGGUGACUCUGAAUAACUUUGGGCUGAUCGCAUAGCCUAGCGCUGGCGACAUAUCCUCCGAAGGUGUGCCCUAUCAACUGUCGACUGUGGCAUAGACGCCCACAGUGGUUUUGACGGGUAACGGGGAAUCAGGGUUCGAUUCCGGAGAGGGAGCCUUAAAAACGGCUACCACAUCUAAGGAAGGCAGCAGGCACGCAAAUUACCCAAUGACCGCAGGUCGAGGUAGUGACGAAAAAUAACGAUACAGGACUCAUCUGAGGCCCUGUAAUCGGAAUGAGUACACUUUAAAACCGUCCCCGAGGAUCUAUUGGAGGGCAAGUCUGGUGCCAGCAGCCGCGGUAAUUCCAGCUCCAAUAGCGUAUAUUAAAGUUGUUGUGGUUAAAAAGCUCGUAGUUGGAUCUCGGCGGUCUGAGGGCGGUUCGCUUCAGAGCGCUACUGCCCUAUAGACCGUAGUUUUGCCAGAGGUCUCAGGGUGCUCUUAACCGAGUGUCUUGCGAUGCUGGCAGGUUUACUUUGAAAAAAUUAGAGUGCUCAAAGCAGGCUUUUACGCCUGAAUAUUCGUGCAUGGAAUAAUAGAAUAGGAAGUCGUUUCUAUUUUGUUGGUUUUCGGAAAUCGACUUAAUGAUUAAUAGGGAUAGUCGGGGGCAUUCGUAUUCAAACGACAGAGGUGAAAUUCUUGGACCGUUUGAAGACGAACUAAGGCGAAAGCAUUUGCCAAGAAUGUUUUCAUUAAUCAAGAACGAAAGUUAGAGGUUCGAAGGCGAUUAGAUACCGCCCUAGUUCUAACCAUAAACGAUGCCAGCUAGCGAUCUGCCGGCGUUUAAUUUUCUGACUUGGCAGGGAGCUUCCGGGAAACCAAAGCUUGUGGGUUCCAGGGGAAGUAUGGUUGCAAAGCUGAAACUUAAAGUAAUUGACGGAAGGGCACCACCAGGAGUGGAGCCUGUGGCUUAAUUUGACUCAACACGGGAAAUCUCACCAGGCCCGGACACUGGAAGGAUU
rnacentral:rRNA from 1 species